rnacentral:rRNA from 1 species
AUGAAGCAGGAGUUCACCGAUGAGGUUAUAAUCCAAUCUGCAAUGAGGCACAAGAACAUUGUUAUGCUCAUAGGCUGCUGCUUAGAGCUGGAUGUUCCCAUGUUGGUGUACGAGUUCGUAGCGAGAGGGAGUCUGUAUGAUGUCCUCUUCAAGUGCAGAGAUAAGAUUCUAGUAGGUACACGAUUGCGGAUUGCCGUUGGGCCAGCCGAAGGCUUAACAUACAUGCAUUCAGCAGGGGAGAGUACAAUCCGUCAUGGUUUCAGACUUUGGGACAUCAAAGCUACUCGCAAGAGGAAAAGCCGAGAUGACAGAACAUGUCAUUGGGGACAUGAGCUACAUAGAUCCAGUAUAUAUGGAACAAGGAAUUGUCACACAGAAGAGCGAUGUCUACGGCUUUGGAGUUAUCCUCAUAGAACUUAUCACAAGGAGGCCUGCAACAUAUGA